AGGAGGAGGAGGAGGAGGAGGAGGAGGAGGAGGAGGAAGAAAAAGAAGAAAAGAAGCAGAAGAAACAGGCUCAGCUCUAUGGAGGGCCACAAAAAAUAUAAAUAAUAGACACAGGCAUGGUGGAGGCCGAAGCAGGAAGAACCCAAGACCAACAUGGGCUACUUAACAAGACUCUGUCUUAAACAAUUAAAAUAACCGUGCAUGGAGUGUCUCCCAAGUGUCACUGUUCAAGAGAUGGCCACGGGCAUUUGUAGGGACAUGGCAGAUAAGUCUCACCUAGAGAAACAGACAGCCAUGCUUGGAAGGUUGGACAGAGUGAAGCCAGUAAGCAAUGGGAACCGGCCAGGGAGCCGGGACUAAAGAGACGGAUUUCAGGUUGGCCCGGGUGGAGGUGGGCUGGAAAGGAGAGUGACUUUACCAACCCAGCCUUCAAUUCAUCCCAAGUUCAAUCAGGUAAUAAAUGCUGACCG
rnacentral:lncRNA from 1 species